GCUUCAGGGCAGCCUUAGAAAAGAAAAUGGCUGAUGUUCUUGAAUUUGGCUCCACUCCUGCGACACCAAAACAAGGCUCUGUCGCAGCAUCAUCGCCUCCUAUAUCAGCUCCUCCUUCACAGUUUCACUCUCCUUCCUUGUCUAGAUCACCACUGCUCUCCACCAGUGAUCAUGUUCAGCCUGCAAGCGCAAACAGAACGCCAAGGACCUCAACUCCUGCGACACCAAAACAAGCCUCCACUCCUGC
rnacentral:misc_RNA from 1 species